GCUUACGGCCAUACCACCCUGAACACGCCCGAUCUCGCGAUCUCGGAAGCUAAGCAGGGUCGGGCCUGGUUAGUACUUGGAUGGGAACCGCCUGGGAAUACCAGGUGCUGUAAGCU
rnacentral:rRNA from 1 species